rnacentral:rRNA from 1 species
CACGUAGGGGACGAGCGUUGUCCGGAUUCAUUGGGCGUAAAGCGCGCGUAGGCGGCUCGGAAAGUCGGUCGUGAAAUGCCGGGGCUCAACCCCGGGACUGCGUCCGAUACUCCCGAGCUGGAGGCAGGUAGGGGAGAUCGGAAUUCCUGGUGUAGCGGUGAAAUGCGCAGAUAUCAGGAGGAACACCGGUGGCGAAGGCGGAUCUCUGGGCCUUGCCUGACGCUGAGGCGCGAAAGCUAGGGGGAGCGAACAGG